GUUCUCACUUCAGCAGCACAUAUACUAAAAUUGGAACAAUAUAGAGAAGAUUAGAUGGCCCCUGCGCAAGGAUGACACACAGAAAUUAGACCCGGCAGGCUUGG